rnacentral:rRNA from 1 species
UACAGAGGGGGCAAGCGUUGUUCGGAAUUACUGGGCGUAAAGGGCGCGUAGGCGGCCUGUUAAGUCGAUCGUGAAAUCCCCGGGCUCAACCCGGGAACUGCGUCGGAUACUGGCAGGCUUGAAUCCGGGAGAGGGAUGCGGAAUUCCAGGUGUAGCGGUGAAAUGCGUAGAUAUCUGGAGGAACACCUGCGGUGUAGACGGCUUUCUGGACCAUUGCUGACGCUGAGACACGAAAGCGUGGGUAGCAAACAGG